UACAGAGGGGGCAAGCGUUGUUCGGAAUUACUGGGCGUAAAGGGCGCGUAGGCGGCCUGCUAAGUCGAACGUGAAAUCCCCGAGCUCAACUCGGGAACUGCGUCCGAUACUGGCAGGCUUGAAUCCGGGAGAGGGAUGCGGAAUUCCAGGUGUAGCGGUGAAAUGCGUAGAUAUCUGGAGGAACACCGGUGGCGAAGGCGGCAUCCUGGACCGGCAUUGACGCUAAGGCACGAAAGCUAGGGGAGCAAACAGG
rnacentral:rRNA from 1 species